GUGUUCGGGCUGACGGGAGAGAAGACGGUCAUUUAGAGGAGUGGCAUGGAAUUCACUUGAGAAGUGUAGCAGGACUAGGGCUUGGUUUCAGGAAUUUGUUGAAGGAGGCCCCCCCCCCCGCCCCCAGGGGUGUGCUCCUGCCGCCUCGUGCCGCCGGGUGGGCGCAGGUGAGGGCGGGCAGCAAAAUUGCAUUCAACCAGCUUGGCGGUUAGGCGGGGGCGCAUGCGGAUGGGCGCGGGUGCAACGGGGUUGAGGCGGAGCCACUAAAAUGAUGGAGCCUAGAUUGAAGGUGCGGAAGGAGGGCAGGGACGGCAAGAGCAUUGUGGUCUGUGCUAAAAAAGCACCGAAGAAUGAGAUAGACUUGAUCAAACCCUUCCUGAAGCUUACUGAAGAAGAAAGAUUCAACUGACAAGCCUGUGAGUCCUAAAAGAAGAAAUGCAGAUUGCUAAGGCAUCAAGGAUUGGGGACUUCACUGAAUCUUGGGGGGUCAAGAAGGGGUCCCCAGAAAGGUGAUGCUCUUGCAGAGACUUGAUGCACAUAAAAGGAGCUUGGGACUUUGGAAGUGGUUUUAAACAUCAGUUCUUGCACCCUCUGCCUGGGAUCGUUUUCUCACCAACACCUGCUGGCUUUGAAUGAAACUCCCUCCCCCUUUAGGGAACUUAUGCAGCUGAAGAGAAAUGGAUGCUGGGAACUGCUUCCAGGGACCUGGAAAUUGAUGAAGACACACACAAGGUAACGGACACGGGGCCAGCUGCGACAUUUUCUGUGUGCCUUAAUGAGGAGUGCUGGGGCUGUGCUACUAAGAGCUGAACUCUUGGCCCAGCUCGCCCGGCUGAAGGAGAAGGGGGAGAAGCUGGCAGACUGCGGCGCUUUGUGAGGAGAAAACAAAUGGGCCUGUAACUUGAUCGAGGUGGCGAGGGGAGGCGGCCAGGGCUCUAGGGAUGAAGAAUAGCUUCUCAGAGUAUUGUCAGGGGGAGGAGGCAGCCAGCAGAGCUGACUGCGGGGCUGGCAAGUGGUCUGCCAGCUUGAGCAUCCUUGGGCUGCCAUGCCCACCUGUCUGGAGCACCUUCUAUGGGUCAGGGACAUUUGCAGAGGGUAGGAGGUAGUCCUUGCAGCAACCGCACCUGGUGAGGAGUAUUUCUACCCCUGUUUUCUAGAUGAGACUCCUGAGGCUCAGAGAAGUGAAGUAGCUUGCCUGAGGCCACACAGCCAGUCAGUGGUGAAGGCAGGGCUUAUAUCCAGCUCUGUAUGUCUUUAGAGUGAUAUUUCUUCCACUGUCUCUUGCUGCCUGACAAUUUUGGGGGGCAAUGGUUCCUUCUGAAUUUUCUACAUGUAAUAAUGACAGUAAGAAUCCCUUUCAAGGGAUAUAUUUCACAAAGAGUCCUCUUGCAAAUGCCAUUUCACAGCGUCUUUAUAGUGUUUUCCCUUUGAGGUGAAAUGUUAUCCUCAAAUUUGAGCUGAGGACAUAGAAACACAGCCAGGCGGGCAGCUCCCCUAAAUGCCACUCAGCAAGGAGCUGAGACUGGCGAGGCCAAAUGGCAGGCACUUGCUACCAUUGUAUGGAGACCCAGGUGGGCUCCUCCGGUGUUCGACGAGACCCAGAGUAUCUCCCACUCCUUCAAAUGAGAAGCCCAAGAACAAACAGUUUGUUUUUCUAACACGCUCAGAGCCUCUGCUUUGUUUCUAACCUUUGAUAAAGCCAGCAGCCCAAAUCCCCUUUCCUGUGCCCCUCCUCCCGAGAAAGGGAUGGCCAGCCAUGUGUAUUUUUCACUGGGGCUCUCACAAAGAAUGCUGCAUAUAAUAUGAAACAUGUGUCAUGGUGUUUGCUGGAGGGCCCCACCCCAUGCCCUUCCCUGCACUGUGGGAGCCUCCGGUGUGGGGGGAUGGGAGGGGGUCGGAGCCCCAGACACCUAGAGCAUUUCUCCCGGAACCGGAACUGCCCCCACCUGCAGGCAGAGCUGGUACCCAGCUCCAUCAUCCAUCUCAUCUCACUUCCCCAUUGGAGACCUUGUCACCCCAUGUUUGCGUUUCUGGCAAUGUGUUGUGAGCCCGGCCUCAAACUCAGAUGUGUGAAUUUCAGCUGGAAACGUACAUGGGCUGCGCUCAAUAACAUCUGUGGGGUAAAUUAUAGGGUGAAUAGGGGAUGAACCGCUCUUCCUCCCAUCUCCCGGAAGUUGGCGCGCUGUGAUAUUGCUGAAGGAAAGAAUAAGUGCUCUGUGAUGGGGCUGUCACUAUUUUUGCCAUUCCCUUCUUAGGAGACAGGAUUGUUGGGAGCCCUGGUCCUUGAACCGGGAGCAGGUGUUAGAAUCACCUGUAGGCUCGUUAAAGCAUAGAUGGCUAGCCCCACCCCUCAGGGUGUAUUUUUGCAUCUUUAACACGUUCCUGGUGGAUGAGAUGCUGCUGCUUCAGGGGCGUGGGAGCUCAGAUGGUCUUUUUCAAGUGGGGUGCGGAUGGAGCCCAAGAGAAAAAAGAAACAGAAGAGAGAGUGACUGUCUGGUGGUGUGGUGUCUGAUGGUGUCUCAAGGGCACAGGGAUCAGCAUAGACCAGAGCCACCAGGACGGGCCUCCUGGAUGUGUGGUGGUGAAGGACGCAAGGGAUUUGGAAAGUAAAAGGAAGGAGAGCUUUGGGCGCAGGCCGGUGCGGAGGCAGUGUUGAGAUGAGACCAGCCUGCAGAGGGAGGGGGACGAAAACAACCUUCCUCAUCAGGGUUGCCUGGAGUUUACACUCUCCAAACCCCCUGCACAGAGCCCAGACAGCCUGGCAGGGCAGGGGUCACCUUCCCAUCUCCAAGGAGGAAACCAGCACAGGGGGUCAUGGGAAUUGAGGAAGGAGGGCCCAGGGCCACAAGCUUUGGCAGCUUAUUCUCUUACAACGGGUUGACCUUUCCCCUGUUUGAAAGCUCUUUGCAGCUGCUUUCCCCAGGGUGAGCAAUGCAGUCUAAGCCUUGGCAGGAAUCAUGGUUUCUCUCACCUGAUUUUUUUUCUUGUUCCAGUUUGCACUUACAAAUGUCAUCAACACAGAAACCACUGUUGCCCUCCUUAUGCCAUUGGCUGGUGACUGUCUCCUCUUCCUGGUUCCUAAAACCUAUGAGGGUCACCCCAUAGCCCUGGAGAAGAGGAGGGAAUGGAGAAAUCUGGACUGCAAAUUCACCCUGUAUCAGCACCACGUUUGGCAUGUUUAUACAGGAGAUCUCACUUAGCCUACAGAGCCCAGGGCAUGUAGAGACAAGGUCGCUGAAGCUCAUGCUGAGGGUAAAGCUCAGGCUCAAGGUUAAACCCCUAGCUUGAGCUCUUGUUGUUAGCUGGUGGAGCUGAUAUCCAACCUCCAAUCUGUUUGAGUUCAGAUGAGCCAAAUAAAUAGCUGGUUAUAAAAGGCCAGAAACUGGAGCCUUACCUGAUAUCAGUGCAUACUGGGAAAAGGUUUCCAGAACACCCUGUGCUGUUUUUGCAGGGUCACACCUUUGCACAUGCUGGCCUCCUUUCCAAACUUUCCAGCCUCUCCUGCACUCAAGCUCCCCUUCAUCCUUCAAGCAGCCCCAUGAUGCCUCUGAGGUCCCCCACCUGCAGAGGUGCCUCUCUUCCAAGUUCCCCUUUCUUGUAUUUCUCCUUAACAUGGAAUUUAGCACCAUCUAUCAUAAUGGGUGUUUUCUUGGGCUUUUUUUCAACUGACUCUAAACUCAACUGCAUAUGUCUUUUUGAAUUACAGUUUUCUCUGGAUAUACGCCCUGAAGUGAGAUUGCUGGAUCAUAUGGCAAAUCUAUUUUUAGUUUUUUGAGUAUUCUCCAUACUGUUUUCCAUAGUGGCUGUACCAGUUUACAUUUCCACCAGCAGUGUAGGAGGGUUCCCUUUUCUCCACAUCCUGUCCAGCAUUUAUUAUUUGUAGAUUUUUAAAAUGGUGGCUAUUCCGACUGGAGUGAGGUGGUACCUCAUUAUAGUUUUGAUUUGCGUUUCUCUAAUAAUUAGUGAGGGGGUUCCCGUUGUGGCUCAGUGGAAACAAAACUGGCUAGUAUCCAAGAGGAUGCAAAUUUGAUCCCUGUCCCCUUUCAGUGGAUUAAGGAUCUGGCGUUGCUGUGAGCUGCAAUGAAGUUUGCAGAUGCAGCUCAGAUGUGGCGCUGUGGCUGUGGCUGUGGCUGUGGCGUAGGCUAGCAGCUGCAGCUCCGAUUUGACCCCUAGCCUAGGAACUUCCAAAUACCAUGGGUGCGGCCCUAAAAAGACAAAAAUAAUUAGUGAUGUUGAGCAUCGCUUCAUGUGCCUAUUGGCCAUCUGUAUGUCUUCUUUGGAGAAAUGUCUAUUUAGGUCUUUUUGCCCAUUUUUUGAUUGGGUUGUUUUUUUGGUGUUGAGUUGUAUGAGCUGUUUGUAUAUUUUGGAAAUUAAGCCCUUGUGAGUUACAUUAUUUUGCAAAUACUUUCUCCAAGUCUGUAGGUUGUUUUCUUCAUUUUGUUUAUAGUUUCCUUUGCUGU
rnacentral:lncRNA from 1 species